AUUGGAGGGCAAGUCUGGUGCCAGCAGCCGCGGUAAUUCCAGCUCCAAUAGCGUAUAUUAAAGUUGUUGCAGUUAAAAAGCUCGUAGUUGAUUUUCUGUUAAUUUUUAUGURUAAUAUUGCGAUAUUUACAUAAUAUUAACAUAAUUCACAUUACUUUACRGUAUGUGGAAUUUUACUUUGAGAAAAUUAGAGUGCUUAAAGCAGGCUAUUGCCUUGAAUACUCCAGCAUGGAAUAAUAUUAAGGAUUUUUAUUCUUCUUAUUGGUUCUAGAAUAAAAAUAAUGAUUAAUAGGAACAGUUGGGGGCAUUUGUAUUUAACAGUUAGAGGUGAAAUUCUUAGAUUUGUUAAAGACAAACUACUGCGAAAGCAUUUGCCAAGGAUGUUUUCAUUAAUCAAGAACGAAAGUUAGGGGAUCGAAGACGAUCAGAUACCGUCGUAGUCUUAACCAUAAACUAUGCCAACUAGAGAUUGGAGGUUGUUCCUUACUCCUUC
rnacentral:rRNA from 1 species